CUACUAUGGAGAGUUUGAUCCUGGCUCAGGACGAACGCUGGCGGCGUGCCUAAUACAUGCAAGUCGAGCGGAGUAUUUCCUUCGGGAAAUGCUUAGCGGCGGACGGGUGAGUAACACGUAGGUAACCUGCCUAUAAGACUGGGAUAACUAUCGGAAACGAUAGCUAAGACCGGAUAACUGGUUUUC
rnacentral:rRNA from 1 species